rnacentral:rRNA from 1 species
UACGGGGGGGGCAAGCGUUGUUCGGAAUUACUGGGCGUAAAGGGCUCGUAGGUGGCCAACUAAGUCAGACGUGAAAUCCCUCGGCUCAACCGAGGAACUGCGUCCGAUACUGGUGGGCUUGAAUCCGGGAGAGGGAUGUGGAAUUCCAGGUGUAGCGGUGAAAUGCGUAGAUAUCUGGAGGAACACCGGUGGCGAAGGCGGCAUCCUGGACCGGUAUUGACGCUGAUGCGCGAAAGCCAGGGGAGCAAACGGG